rnacentral:tRNA from 1 species
GGAGAGGUGGCUGAGCGGUUGAAAGCACCGGUCUUGAAAACCGGGAAGGGGUAACCCCCCUUCGUGGGUUCAAAUCCCACCCUCUCCG